rnacentral:rRNA from 1 species
GAUGAACGCUGGCGGCGUGCCUAACACAUGCAAGUCGAGCGAACAGACGAGGAGCUUGCUCCUCUGACGUUAGCGGCGGACGGGUGAGUAACACGUGGAUAACCUACCUAUAAGACUGGGAUAACUUCGGGAAACCGGAGCUCAUACCGGAUAAUAUAUUGUACCGCAUGGUUCAAUAGUGAAAGACGGUUUUGCUGUCACUUAUAGAUGGAUCCGCGCCGCAUUAGCUAGUUGGUAAGGUAACGGCUUACCAAGGCAACGAUGCGUAGCUGACCUGAGAGGGUGAUCAGCCACACUGGAACUGAGACACGGUCCAGACUCCUACGGGAGGCAGCAGUAGGGAAUCUUGCGCAAUGGGCGAAAGCUUGACGGAGCAACGCCGCGUGAGUGAUGAAGGUCUUCGGAUCGUAAAACUCUGUUAUUAGGGAAGAACAAAUGUGUAAGUAACUAUGCACGUCUUGACGGUACCUAAUCAGAAAGCCACGGCUAACUACGUG